ensembl:lncRNA
AUAAUGUUGAGGUGGAGGGGUAUGUUGCUGCCUGAGCUGACAAUGAAUAGCACUUACUCAUGCUUUAAAACUGGGAAGGUGCUCCAGCCCUCUGAUCACCUUUGUGGCCCUCCUCUGGACCUUAUUCAACAACUCCAUGUCCUUCUUGUGUUGUGAGCACCAGAACUGGAUGCAGUACUCCAGCCAUAUGAUAUCAGCAUCGCAUACCUUGUAGCUGCAUGUAAUGAUUUUUGCCAAAGGCAACAUACCGAACCGAGCUUCACCCACCCAGAGGAGUCACUGAGUCCGAGCACUGCAUCAACCAUCCAGCAAAGGAAUUGAAGACGUGAGAGAUGGAAGAAACAAUUGGUCAUCUAAUCUCUUUUUCUAUUUUUGCCUGUCUUGUUGCCAGGGAGAUAUUGUAUUAAAAGGAG